CACUAAACCCGGUAGAAGUGAAAAUCCUUUUUGUUUGCAGCAACCUUGAAUAGACUGUCAUGCUGAGGCACGAAGCAUCUGCAAGCUAUGAAACAGAUCCUUCGUGCCUCAGGAUGACAGUAUCACAAAAAGAUUGAAGCGGAUAACGGGACUAUCG
rnacentral:sRNA from 1 species